GGUUGAAUGCACCUACUGUCUUCACAGGGCCGGGAUGGAGGGUUUACGAUUGCAAUGUGGGCCUCGUUCGCUGGGUUGGGAUGUCGUAACCCGGGUGUUUGGUGGCGGAUGUCCAACGGUGAAGCUAGUCUGGGAGUAAAGUGUGCCUCAGGUGUUCAGCUUGGCAAGAUUUCUGCGUGCUGUCCUGGCAACUUCGUUCUCCUUCCUACUGUCCCGCAGCUGCAACACUCCCAAAGCUCCUGGUAGCUUAUGCAAGAAGUCGGACCACUGGGAUUUAUCGGAUCCGUUAGA